rnacentral:rRNA from 1 species
AACGAACGCUGGCGGCAUGCCUAACACAUGCAAGUCGAACGAGACCUUCGGGUCUAGUGGCGCACGGGUGCGUAACGCGUGGGAACCUGCCCUUAGGUUCGGAAUAACUCCCCGAAAGGGGUGCUAAUACCGGAUAAUGUCUUCGGACCAAAGAUUUAUCGCCUUUGGAUGGGCCCGCGUUGGAUUAGCUAGUUGGUAGGGUAAAAGCCUACCAAGGCGACGAUCCAUAGCUGGUCUGAGAGGAUGAUCAGCCACACUGGGACUGAGACACGGCCCAGACUCCUGCGGGAGGGAGCAGGGGGGAAGAUGGGACGAUGGGAGACAGCCUGAUCAAGCGACGGGGCGUGAGUGAUGAAGGGUUUGGGGUGGUAAAGUUCUUUUACCGGGGAUGAUAAUGACACUACCGGGAGAAUAGGCUCCGGCUACCCCCGUGACAGCAGCCGCGGUAAAGAGCACACGGCUGAAC